CCUGCGGAGGGAUCAUUACCGAGUUUACAACUCCCAAACCCCUGUGAACAUACCUUAAUGUUGCCUCGGCGGAUCAGCCCGCGCCCCGUAAAACGGGACGGCCCGCCAGAGGACCCAAAUUCUAAUGUUUCUUAUUGUAACUUCUGAGUAAAACAAACAAAUAAAUCAAAACUUUCAACAACGGAUCUCUUGGUUCUGGCAUCGAUGAAGAACGCAGCAAAAUGCGAUAAGUAAUGUGAAUUGCAGAAUUCAGUGAAUCAUCGAAUCUUUGAACGCACAUUGCGCCCGCUGGUAUUCCGGCGGGCAUGCCUGUUCGAGCGUCAUUUCAACCCUCAAGCCCCCGGGUUUGGUGUUGGGGAUCGGCUCUGCCUUCUGGCGGUGCCGCCCCCGAAAUACAUUGGCGGUCUCGCUGCAGCCUCCAUUGCGUAGUAGCUAACACCUCGCAACUGGAACGCGGCGCGGCCAUGCCGUAAAACCCCAACUUCUGAAUGUUGACCUCGGAUCAGGUAGGAAUACCCGCUGAACUUAAGCAUAUC
rnacentral:rRNA from 1 species